CACACAGUAUCCAACCAUACAUCAUACAUGUUUUUUAUUAGGUGCUUAUGAGAUAUACGUUGUACAUAUCCUUUGAAUUUUGCUGUUAUGAAAAGAGAAUAUUCCUGAGAUCUACCUCUUUCCCCAAAUAUUAAGGUGCUGAUUCAUGAAUGAAGAUAUGCUUCACUGCCACUUUCAACCUAAUUUAUAUCAGCUCAUCGAAGUGCAGGUGUCACAUGAGAGAGAGAGGCAGUAUAAGGGAAACACCAGGGGCACAAAGCAGGAUGGACACCAAGAGCUUUUCUGCACUGACUCUCCUGUUUUCCUUCAUCUUUUUCCUGGGACAAUCAAAGAUCUCUAGUGGCCUCCCAGAAAUCGGUGUGACAAAGGCAGAUGUUGUCUAUCAAGGAGAAGCACCUGUAACCUUUGUGAAGUCACAAAAUUUGUGUAAACCUGAUUCAGUAGCCACUGCAUUCAAUGAGGAGUUCCUAAUACUUCAUGCAACUUUGUAUGCUCAGUUCACAAAAUUCAAUCAAUAAUUAUGUGCAAACAUCAGACUUCAUUUGAAAACAGAAUGGUCUAUGAUCCACUGGAAAUGAAAGAGACUUAUCAUGCCUUGGUCUCUUAAGUAUUAACAACAUCUUUCUUCUGCAGUUGAUCUUCAUGUCAAACAUUAUAGGAAAGAGAACUGUGCCUUAUUAAUCACAGCCCUCCCUGAAUUGCUUCCAUAUAUAAAUUCUGCCCUUUGUGUUGACAAUUAUAUUUGCUAUUAUGAUACUGUGAGGCAGAUAGUACUUGGAAGCUCUCAGGUGGUCUUGGUGUUUUUGUUGAAAUUUAAUAACUAUCUUCAGGUAAAUGAUAAAUGUCACACUGGGUUGAAGAACUACCUAGUUGAAUACAAUACUGUCCUUCCUGAAGGGAAUUCCUUGCAGAAGACAGACGGUGCCUGAGUGACCCUGAAUGUGCUUUAUUGCAUAGUAUUUUUAGUGACUGCAACUGAGAUACUAAGACAAGGUCAACCAGAAAAAUACUUUUUAUAAUAAAAUUUUGUUUUGUCAUUUUGGUUAGUGUCAUUGGACAUAACUAUAAAGAGAUAACUGUACAAAAUUUAUUGUGUAACAAAACAUGAUUCCUGUGUAGAAGAUGGAUUAAUUUUGUACAGUGAAAUAACAUUCCCAGUGUUUUAAACAAGACACAGUUGAUGAAUAAACUUGGAAGAACUAAAUGAGUACUUGAAGCUCCAACGCCCACCUCUUGCUAUUUUCUUCCUAUCUGACUACUUCUUUCUCUACUGAAUAAAUGCUUUUUUUUGAAAACUGAACUCUGUGGUUCAUAAGGUUGUCUCUGUCCUUUCCCUAGGAGAAAUUUGAUUUAAACAAAUUAAAUUUCUUCCACUCUCUAAAUUGAACAAGGCAGGAUUCUCUUCCCCGUAUCUCUCACUUCUAUGCUGAAGUAAAAUGAAGACCCAAGUAUAAUUGGCAAUUAAUAACUUCAGAUUCUAUUAUGGAACUCUUGUUACAAAAUUCAUCUGUGCAAAAUUAUAUAAGAGCAUGCCUAGGUUACUGUGAGAAAAACUGGGCCUUUCCUACAGACAUAAAAAUGUCACAAUGGCAUUAAAGCUGUAGGCUUUGACCUUGGAUUGUCUGACCCUAGGCCACCUGUCCUUUGUCCCCAUUUUUCACAGGCUAGAAUAGACCAAUACAUAAUGAUGUGUCCUGAGGAACUUAUACUUCUACCUGACAUAAGCUUGCCCUGCAGCUGCCUAAAUAUUUUGCUUCUGCAAACACCUUGCUUUU
ensembl:lincRNA